GCAUCGAUAGCUCAGUGGCAGAGCGGUGGGGCGUUUACCCAUGCGGCCCGGGUUCGAUUCCCGGUCAUUGUA